UUCGCUUCUCGGCCUUUUGGCUAAGAUCAAUGUGUAGUAUCUGUUCUUAUCAGUUUAAUAUCUGAUACGUACCACAUUGUGGUACCUUAUAUUAAAUAGAUUUUUGGGACAGGGAUAUGGAAUAGAGACUUCUCUCAUCUGACCACAUCUAUCUGUCUUGCCAAGGCAUCUUGUGU
rnacentral:snRNA from 1 species